CACGUAGGGUGCGAGCGUUGUCCGGAAUUAUUGGGCGUAAAGAGCUCGUAGGCGGUGUGUCGCGUCGGCCGUGAAAACCUGCAGCUUAACUGUGGGCUUGCGGUCGAUACGGGGCAUCACUGGAGUUCGGCAGGGGGAGACUGGAAUUCCUGGUGUAGCGGUGAAAUGCGCAGAUAUCAGGAGGGAAACACCCGGGUGGGCGAAAGGGCGGGGGUCUCUGGGGCCCGUAAACUGACGCUGGAGGGAGCGAAAAAGCGUGGGGG
rnacentral:rRNA from 1 species